CUGGUUUGAAUCCUGCCAGUAGUCAUAUGCUUGUCUCAAAGAUUAAGCCAUGCAUGUGUAAGUAUGAACUAAUUCAGACUGUGAAACUGGAAUGGCUCAUUAAAUCAGUUAUAGUUUGUUUGAUGGUACCUACUACUCGGAUAGACCGUAUGUAAUUCUAGAGCUAUACGUGCAACAAACCCCGACUUCUGGAAGGGAUGCAUUUAUUAGAUAAAGGGUCAACGCAGGCCCUGCCUGUUGCUUUGAUGAUUCAUGAUAACUCGUCGGAUCGCACAGGCCCUUGUGCCGGCGACGCAUCAUUAAAUUUCUGCCCUAUCAACUCUUCGAUGGUAGGAUAGUGGCCUACCAUGGUGGUGACGGGUGACGGAGGAAUUAGGGUUCGAUUCCGGAGAGGGAGCUUGAGAAAGGCUAUCCAUCCAAGGAAGGCAGCAGGCGGCAAAUUACCCAAUCCUGACACGGGGAGGUAUUGACAAUAAAUAACAAUACCGGCUCAUAGAGUCUGGUAAUUGGAAUGAGUACAAUCUAAAUCCCUUAAGCGAGGAUCCAUUGGAAGGGCAAGUCUGGUGCCAGCAGCCCGCCGGUAAUUCUUUGCCUCCGAAAUACGUAAGUAUAUUUUAAGUUCGUUGCGGUUAUAAAAGCUCGUAGUUGACCUUGGGUUUGGGCACCGAUAUCGGUCCGCCGUCGGAGUGCACCGGUCGGCUCGUCCCUUCUGCCAGCAAUGCGCUCCUGGCCUUAACUGGCCGGGUCGUGCCUCUGGCGCUGUUACUUUGAAGAAAUUAGAGUGCUCAAAGCAAGCCUACGCUCUGUAUACAUUAGCAUGGGAUAACAAAUAGGAUUCCGAUCCUAUUGUGUUGGCCUUCGGGUUCGGAGUAAUGAUUAACAGGGACAGUCGGGGGCAUUCGUAUUCAUAGUCAGAGGUGAAAUCUUGGAUUUAUGAAAGAAGAACCAACUGCGAAAGCAUUUGCCAAGGAUGUUUUUCAUUAAUCAAGAAGAAAAGUUGGGGGCUCGGAUCAGAAUUUUAAGGAAUUGUUGUCACAAGUUUCAACCAUAAAUAAAAAAUAAUUUGUUAUUAAUUGAGAGUAUUACUCUCGGGUCGUCCUCACAAGGAAUGGGAAACAUUGCAAAUUUUGUUAGAAUUCCGGGGUUGAAGUCCAUGAGCAAGAAAUUUAAAACUAAGAGAGCUUAACAAGUAAUGAAAUCUUAAAAGUGCAAGGAAAACUAAAUUCAAGCUAACUAAAAGCCAAUGAGUUGAAGCCAAAUCCAAACUAAUAAGAGAGACAAUCCAAUAUAAUUCUACAAUUAGAGACGUAAACACAAGAACUAUAACUCAAAUUAAAACAAAAAAUUGGAAAUUUUUGGGUUUCAAAUAUGAAUAAUAAAAAGUAACUCUGUGCUAGGCAUAGGAAUUGAGGAUCACAUCCUGUCAAAACCAUAUCUGAAGCAAUGCAUGAGGACCAACUCAUAAGUUACCUGGAUACGGUUGAAGUAUAUUAAAUGGUUUGGUCAACAAUCAAUCCAUAAAGGUCAAACCCAGCUACCAAUUGACUUAGUAGUAGGCUAGUGU
rnacentral:rRNA from 1 species